rnacentral:rRNA from 1 species
CCUACGGGUGGCAGCAGUGAGGAAUAUUGGUCAAUGGCCGAGAGGCUGAACCAGCCAAGUCGCGUGAGGGAAGACGGCCCUACGGGUUGUAAACCUCUUUUGUCGGGAAACAAAGCGAGUCACGUGUGCCUCAUUAAGAGUACCCGAAGAAAAAGCAUCGGCUAACUCCGUGCCAGCAGCCGCGGUAAUACGAGGGAUGCGAGCGUUAUCCGAAUUUAUUGGGUGUAAAGGGUGCGCAGGCGGAGGUGCAAGUCAGUGGUCAAAUUGCGGGGCUCAAACCCGUACUGCGGUUGAUACUGCAUCCCUUGAGUGCGCGAGAGGUAUGCGGAAUGCGUGGUGUAGCGGUGAAAUGCAUAGAUAUCACGCAGAACUCCGAUUGCGAAGGCAGCAUACCGGCGCGCAACUGACGCUCAUGCACGAAAGCGUGGGUAUCGAACAGGAGUAGAUACCCGAGUAGUC